rnacentral:rRNA from 1 species
UACGAAGGGGGCGAGCGUUGUUCGGAAUCACUGGGCGUAAAGGGCGCGUAGGCGGCCCUCCUUGUCGCGUGUGAAAGCCCCGGGCUCAACCUGGGAACGGCGCGCGAGACGGGGGGGCUGGAGUUCGGGAGAGGAGCGUGGAAUUCCCAGUGUAGAGGUGAAAUUCGUAGAUAUUGGGAAGAACACCGGUGGCGAAGGCGGCGCUCUGGACCGAGACUGACGCUGAGGCGCGAAAGCCAGGGGAGCAAACGGGG